GGAUGGAUCAUAACGUAUAUAAUAAGUUGAGGCGCUAGUAAAAGAUAUCUACCCAUUUCAAUUAAAUUCCGGAUGACUGAUCGGGGGAAAGCUCGGAGUUGAUGAAGCGCUGUAUAGGACCAGAAAGUCCUUCAUUGCUGUUUAUAUUGUGAAGGUUUCGCGAAUAUGUUAUCUGCUUAGCAGGAUCGUCGGAGUGAGUGACACGUUAAUGUUAGUAGACCAUUGUCAGUAAGCGAUUACACGGCAGUUUGAUACUCCUCGGAUGAUUCGAUAUACCCGCUGAACUUAAGCAUAUCAGUAAGCGGAGGAAAAGAAACCAAAUGGGAGAGUGCUAGUAGCGGCGAGCGAAAACAUUUUCAAGCCCCUUUGAGGUUGCGCAUUCUGACUCGUCAGGUGCGGAAACUUGCUGGGGCGUAUAUUAAGUAGGCCUUGUUGAUACUCAAGGCUGAAUGCCAGGUGGAAUCCUGGCAAAACAAAAUAUAUUCCGAGUCCGAUAGUUUACAAGUACCGUGAGGGAAAGUUUGGAGUUUCUUAAGAAACCGUUAUUGAAACCUUUCAGUUAGAAGGACUCGAUCCCCUGGGUAAGAGUCGCCCGUCUUGAAACACGGACCAAGGAGUCACAGUGCGCGGCGAGCAACACUACAAAGAGUUGCGGAUCGAAAGAACAUGAUAGCUUUAGUCGCUCUCUGUGGACCCGAAAGAUGGUGAACUAUACUUGACCAUGGUGAAUUCAGAUGAAACUCUGAUGGAAGCCUGUUUCGAUACUGACGCGCAAAUCGUUCGUAUGAGUUGAGUAUAGGGGCGAAAGACUAAUCGAACCAUCUAGUAGCUGGUUCCCUC
rnacentral:misc_RNA from 1 species